rnacentral:lncRNA from 1 species
UGGUGCUCAGUCAUCACUGUGAGGAGGCCCCUGCCCCCCCACCUCCCACGCUCAGCCUGGUUAACCCCUGUUUUACCAUGGCUCCCAGGUGCGUGGGUCCCAAGGCUCGCUGCAGAUGAAGAAUCAGAAUCCCUUAGGCAUCACCAGGUGGGGCACAUCCCUGUCCCUAUGCUUGCAAAGCCAGGCUAGCCGCUACCAGGACUCGUAUUGAGAGCUCUUCAGACACUUUGUAAGAACCACUGAAGGCCACUGUCCCAUCCCAGUGAUCAUUUGCGUUACACGUACUUGAGGGAAAUUCUGAGAUGCCCCUUUGGGGUUCUGUGCAUGUACCCUGUUCCCUGACGUGUCCUAAGAAGUGUUCUUGACUCUGAGGUUUAUAAAAUGACAGUGACUCCUGAACCUCCUGAGCUCUAGUGGAUAUCCUGUGUCCUGGAAGACGGGACAUCUUCUACCCUCUGUCGGUCCUGGGGGUGACUGGGAACAGGGAGGUUGAGCAGAAUUCCUGGACCUGGGUCGGGCUUGAUCAAGAGGGGCAGGUGGGCCUCCCUAGGGUCGGUGUCCCCUGCAAGUUCCCCAGCAAGAGGAAGCCUGGCUCCCAUGUGUUGGCUUCUGUCCUGAAUCUGUGCACAUGUUCCUCGUGUGCAGGGAAGAACCUCCUGAAAUCACUAAAGAGCAGUUCCUCAGGGCCUUCUGGGUGGCUGUGGCCGCGGAGCAGUCGUGGUGGAACCGGCCAGCUGUGGACCUGUGCUGCGAAUUGGCAGAGGCCUCCGCGGUGAAGACAGAAGCCCGGUGAAUCAACCCGAGGCUAGAGCCAAGACCCGGCUCGUAUUCACUUGCCUGCUUCACUUGUCGCUGUUACUGAGAGAGGGAGAUGGAACCUUCCAGGGACCUUGUCCUCACCGGAAACUCAGAAGAGGAGGCGUUGGGAAACCAUAUCUGUUUCAUUGCUGGUGUAAUGAGGCUUUUCAAGAUGUGACUUCACACCGAGGGACAGGAGUGCGGCUUGCUUGCCCGUUUUGUGUGGGUGGUGGAAACCUUCCUUCGAAAGGCAGUGCCUUGCGGAGCAGACCUGCCCCAACUCUAGCUUAGCCUUUCAAAACGAUGUGUGGAACCUACUGGAGGUGUUUUUAUAUAUUUGAAAAUAAUGGCCUGUAUUUCUCAUGCUGUACUUAAAAAAUAAUAACUUUUUAAACAAAGAUAUUCA